ensembl:snoRNA
ACCCCCUGGCAAUGGGCAAAGAGACACUUUGUUAGUGGUGUUGUUCUUAGAUCAGUCAGGGACAGAGCAGAUGGCUGUCUUUUGCUCAUCUUUGCUUGAUGCCUGGCUUGGCGGCCAAAGCUAUUUUAUGCCUAGGACACAUAA